rnacentral:tRNA from 1 species
GCGUGCGGGUGGGCGACGGCGCGCUCGGCGGCCUGCUCCGCCUCCCGGAGCAGUUCGGCGCCGCCCUGCACCUCCCA